GGGCCCGCACAAGCGGUGGAGCAUGUGGUUUAAUUCGAUGCAACGCGAAGAACCUUACCUACUCUUGACAUCCAGAGAACUUUUCAGAGAUGAAUUGGUGCCUUCGGGAACUCUGAGACAGGUGCUGCAUGGCUGUCGUCAGCUCGUGUUGUGAAAUGUUGGGUUAAGUCCCGCAACGAGCGCAACCCUUAUCCUUGUUUGCCAGCGAGUAAUGUCGGGAACUCCAGGGAGACUGCCGGUGAUAAGCCGGAGGAAGGUGGGGACGACGUCAAGUCAUCAUGGCCCUUACGAGUAGGGCUACACACGUGCUACAAUGGCGCAUACAGAGGGCAGCCAACUUGCGAGAGUGAGCGAAUCCCAAAACCCCAUCUCAGUUCGGAUUGGAGUCUGCAACUCGACUCCAUGAAGUCGGAAUCGCUAGUAAUCG
rnacentral:rRNA from 1 species